rnacentral:rRNA from 1 species
UCUUGGUCAUUUAGAGGAAGUAAAAGUCGUAACAAGGUCUCCGUUGGUGAACCAGCGGAGGGAUCAUUACAGAGUUGCAAAACUCCCUAAACCAUUGUGAACGUUACCUUUAUCGUUGCUUCGGCGGGUGGCGCCCAGCGCCCCCAAGGCCCCCUCGCGGGGCGCCCGCCGGAGGAAACCUAACUCUUGACAACUGUAUGGCCUCUCUGAGUAACUAUACUUAAUAAGUUAAAACUUUCAACAACGGAUCUCUUGGUUCUGGCAUCGAUGAAGAACGCAGCGAAAUGCGAUAAGUAAUGUGAAUUGCAGAAUUCAGUGAAUCAUCGAAUCUUUGAACGCACAUUGCGCCCGCCAGUAUUCUGGCGGGCAUGCCUGUUCGAGCGUCAUUUCAACCAUCAAGCCCCAGGCUUGUGUUGGGGACCUGCGGCUGCCGCAGGCCCUGAAAAACAGUGGCGGGCUCGCUAGUCACACCGAGCGUAGUAGCAUACACAUCGCUUAGGACGUGCAGCGGGUUCCGGCCGUUAAACCCCCCACUAUAUCAAGGUUGACCUCGGAUCAGGUAGGAAGACCCGCUGAACUUAAGCAUAUCAAUAAGCGGAGGA